AAUUGGGGAGAGUUUCAAAGAGCAGUGAGAUUUCUAAAGCAAUUUCUGUAUUAGGGAAAAAGAACAGAACUCAGGAAUGGCUGAAUGUUUUUGAAGAGAGACACCUUCAUAAAGGAAGGCUGUGCCCAGAUUGAGGCUCAAGUGGAAAACUGCUGAGUUUUAUCUUGGCUUGGACUUUGAUGUCUUGGAAUAGAUGAGAUUUUUUUUCUUCUAAUUUAGCUAAAGGAUCAAGUCACUUCUGCUACUAAACUGUGUAGGAAGAUUGGUUGUCUCAACUUGUGUGACAGGAAAGUGAGGCAGUGGUUAAUCUGGAGCCAGCUCAGUGGUAAUUUGGACUCUGAGAUGACAGCGAGUUGAGAAAUUAUUUGAGAUUCCAUGUGGAAAGAAGCAAUAGAUGCCCAGUACAGUUUUCAGAUUGUAGAUAAGGACAGCAUCCACAUUACUAACGAGGACAUUCAACUGCAAUGCAUUUUCCCAGCCACUCCCAUU